rnacentral:rRNA from 1 species
GACGAACGCUGGCGGCGUGCUUUACACAUGCAAGUCGAACGGAAAGGCCCUGCUUUUGUGGGGUGCUCGAGUGGCGAACGGGUGAGUAACACGUGAGUAACCUGCCCUUGACUUUGGGAUAACUUCAGGAAACUGGGGCUAAUACCGGAUAGGAGCUCCUGCUGCAUGGUGGGGGUUGGAAAGUUUCGGCGGUUGGGGAUGGACUCGCGGCUUAUCAGCUUGUUGGUGGGGUAGUGGCUUACCAAGGCUUUGACGGGUAGCCGGCCUGAGAGGGUGACCGGGGACAUUGGGGCGAAGAGACGGCCCAGACGGCAACGGGAGGCAGCAGGUGGGAACAUUGGGGCAUGGGCGGGAGCCUUGUGCAACAACCCCGCGAGCGGGAAGACGGCCUUUGGGUUGGGAACCGCUUUCGCCUGUGACGAAGCGUGAGUGACGGUAAUGGGUAAAGAAGCACCGGCUAACUACGUG